rnacentral:rRNA from 1 species
AUUGAACGCUGGCGGCAGGCCUAACACAUGCAAGUCGAACGGUAACAGGAAACAGCUUGCUGUUUCGCUGACGAGUGGCGGACGGGUGUGUAAUGUCUGGGAAACUGCUUGAUGGAGGGGGAUAACUACUGGAAACGGUAGCUAAUACCGCAUAACGUCGCAAGACCAAAGAGCGGGACCCUCGGGCCUCUUGCCAUCGGAUUUGCCCAGAUGGGACUAGCUUGUUGGUGGGGUAACGGCUCACCAAGGCGACGAUCCCUAGCUGGUCUGAGAGGAUGACCAGCCACACUGGAACUGAGACACGGUCCAGACUCCUACGGGAGGCAGCAGUGGGGAAUAUUGCACAAUGGGCGCAAGCCUGAUGCAGCCAUGCCGCGUGUAUGAAGAAGGCCUUCGGGUUGUAAAGUACUUUCAGCGGGGAGGAAGGGAGUAAAGUUAAUACCUUGGCUCAUUGACGUUACCCGCAGAAGAAGCACCGGCUAACUCCGUG